rnacentral:rRNA from 1 species
AGUGAACGCUGGCGGUAGGCCUAACACAUGCAAGUCGAACAGCAGCACAGUAGGAGCUUGCUCUUACGGGUGGCGAGUGGCGGACGGGUGAGGAAUACAUCGGAAUCUACUUUUUCGUGGGGGAUAACGUAGGGAAACUUACGCUAAUACCGCAUACGACCUACGGGUGAAAGCAGGGGAUCUUCGGACCUUACGCGAUUGAAUGAGCCGAUGUCGGAUUAGCUAGUUGGCGGGGUAAAGGCCCACCAAGGCGACGAUCCGUAGCUGGUCUGAGAGGAUGAUCAGCCACACUGGAACUGAGACACGGUCCAGACUCCUACGGGAGGCAGCAGUGGGGAAUAUUGGACAAUGGGCGCAAGCCUGAUCCAGCCAUACCGCGUGGGUGAAGAAGGCCUUCGGGUUGUAAAGCCCUUUUGUUGGGAAAGAAAAGCAGCAGGUUAAUACCCCGCUGUUCUGACGGUACCCAAAGAAUAAGCACCGGCUAACUUCGUG